GACAGAGGGUGCAAACGUUGUUCGGAAUUACUGGGCGUAAAGCGAGUGUAGGCGGUUUGGUAAGUCGGAUGUGAAAGCCCCCGGGCUCAACCCGGGAAGUGCACUCGAUACUGCCAAGCUAGAGUAUCGGAGAGGUUGGUGGAAUUCUCGGUGUAGAGGUGAAAUUCGUAGAUAUCGAGAGGAACACCGGUGGCGAAGGCGGCCAACUGGACGAAUACUGACGCUGAGAACUCGAAAGCGUGGGGGAGCAAACAGG
rnacentral:rRNA from 1 species